AUCCGAUUUGAUAGAAUAUGACAACAGAACAUGAUAAAAUGCAUAAAGAAUGGCAUAUGAUAGCUAAUUGUAGUAAGUGCUAAGAAACGCAAAAACGUCAUUUUUGAUAAGAAAUAUCUCAAGCUUACGGUGGCUUACGGAUCUGCCAUUCAGACUAAGAGGAAGUGUAGAGUCAUGACAACAACUUUUGAGUAAAAUUACGAGGUGCAAAGUAUAUUUUUUGGGUCCUGAUUUUGCGAUUUCAUUAAAAAAACUGACUAUGUCUAAGGGUUAGUCUAGAGCAAUAGAUAAGACGAAUAAUAAUAAUUUUGGCAUGUAACAUCUUCAACAUAUCCUGUAUUUUGUGAAUCAGGUGCCCAAACACUUUCAGGUACAGCGAAACAACGUGAACAAACCCUUAAACAUAGCACUGCUGCUCGAUAACUGGGAUCGUGCUCAAAAGUGCUCCGCGCGCCGCACUUCCUGUGCUUGUCACAUCUUUAUUAGUGCUUCGAUCGAAGUGAUAUUUUACAGGAGUCCUCUCCAUAGUAUGUACUAUCGAUCCACGUCUUAAAAUCGAACUUUUUCCAAACUUCACUUUUUCGAUUUAUUUCCGCUUAAAUCGGGCUAUCGGACCAUAGUGCGCCGCCGCCGUGGCGCGACAGGCAGCGCGCUGGCGCCUACAAACCUAAUAGGGAUACUUCACGCAUUGCGCAAUGCGUGAAGUAUCCCUGUUAGGUUUGUAGGCGCCAGCGCGCGGUUCGCGCUGACAGCACGUCGCGCCGCGCCGCGGCAUGGCCGCGGCAAUGCGGCAUUGUUGACAUCUCGAUUUCGCGUUUGAGGUUAAGUGAGCGCUGUUAUUAUGAACGUGAGUGGAAAUUACGGUGUGCAAGGACAUCAAUGACUAUUAAUGCUCUCACCACGAUGCAUGAAAGAGUGAAAUACAAGCUUAGUCGUUGUUUUGUGCCCAGCUGUAAAAAUAAACCAUCAGCUGCUGAGACAAGCAAGUUAUUCUUUCCUGUGCCGAGGGGUGACGAGCGAAAUGAGUGGAUCAGAAUCUGUGGACGUAAAUCCACUUCUCUAGUUUCAAAUCUCAUCAUAUGCGAGGACCAUUUCACAUUAGAAGACGACGUGACAGGCUAUAACAGCUUCAUCACUGCUGUAAGAUUGGGCUGCCCACCUCCAUGCAAACUUAAACUUAAGAAAGGCAUUCUCCCAACCAAAUUCGGUCAAGAUGAGGCAAAUUUGUCAUCAAGCACUAUUUCACUAACAGCCUCAAGUAGCAAAACUGCAACGUCUCCUUCGAAUUUUCAGGACCCUUCUCCCUACAACGACGCAUUCCCCUCACCCCUGGCUAACGCAUUAGAUCAUCGCUUAAGUCCGGAGAUUGAGUCACCCUCUUCCCCAAUGAACAUUUCGCCUAUUCAACCUACAUCCAGCAACAAUGUAAUGAGUGGGUUAUCUUUUGAAUCCUGCAACGAGGUUUAUCCUGUAAAUGAGGCGACUCCUUCAAGCCAUACAUCAACAGAAACUCACUACUGUACACCUUCAAGCACUACUGUGGAAAUGAAAAAAAAGCUAAUCUUACAAUGUAUAAGCUAUCAAGCAGAAUUGAAAAUGAAUGCAAUUAAUCCGGAAAAAUUGGAUUUAUUCAAUGAUGAAAUCGUUCGGGCUAUUCUAAAUUUUAAGGUCCCCGAGGUGAACAUUAUGACGGAGGAAAUAAAUCCAGAAAUAAAAGAAGAAUUACAGGAUGACGAUGAUGAUUUUAUACAUGUUGCAAAUAAUAGUGUAUUUCUUCCUGAAAAUACACUAAAAGUUGAAAUAAAGGAGGAACCAGAAGAUAUAUAUGAUGAUUAA
rnacentral:lncRNA from 1 species